UGUGAAAGGAAUGAAAGCCUAAUGCAACUUGGUGUGGGCUGAUUAUGUACCUGCGGAUAUGUACGUCUCUUAUUGUGUGCGCAUGUUGAGCUCUUGUGUAAAAUAAAAAUGACAGAGGUGGUGAUUCUCUUUUUCCUCACAGUGACUAUUAACUAUAAUAGGCUGUACACUAUGUGUCUGCAAAUCCCCUCUUUGAAUAUACUGUGACAUAUUACAGCCUGAAGUGACACUGACAUAUAUGGCCUUCGAGCGUCCAGACAGACUCUUACUCUGUGAUAGUCUAAAACAACAUUACUGAGGUGCAGUAGACGCUCAGCUCACACUGCAACUGUCAGAGUCAUGACCCAACUGGAAUAGACAGAAACCUGUGAAAUAGAACCAGCCUCUCACCGUCUGAAACACGAACCAAAUCUGUCACUCAAACUGCAAAUGGAGACCAUGGAGAGGUAAGAGGAGGGAAGGGAAAAGAGAGUGAUACCUCAAUAGAGAAAUAAGCUGAGAGACAGGAAGCAGGAAAGACAGAAGAAGACAGAGAGAGUGAGAGAGAGAGGAAAUCUGAAUUUGAGAGUACAGUAUUGCAAAAUGAGCCAGUGAUUUGCAGCUUGUGUUGCUGCUUCAUCAUCAUCGAGUUACACUGAGUUGCGUGUUCUUUUGCGUGGAGAAACAAGGCAGCUCCAGAUGGUGCAGAACUGAAAAGGUGCCUUACAUGCUGCCUCGCAGAAGGAGCAAAAAGCAAAAUGAGUCCCUCCCCUGUAAAAUAACGAUUUAAAAUUAAACUUUUAUGAAAAAAGUUGCUGCGGUGUCAGUGGGGUGGACUGGAGUUGGUGCUGGUGCUGACAUUCGGCCCUGUCCCUUGCAGUUGUAGUAACAAGCGGGAGCAGUUUGUUGCCAGGUGUCAUAUUAAGACCCUGAUUCCCAUUUGUUAUUCACACAUGGAAUAAAAACUGCAGGAAUUAGAGGUUAAUUAAGAUUGAGAAAGUUUGGGAGGUAAAAGAAAAGGUGAGAGAGAGAGAAACAGGCAAAUGGUGGAGUGAAGCGGAGAAAAGUUAAUUUUCAUCGCUGUUGUUUCUGUGUUGUGCUGCAGCUGGUGAUGAAUGGCAGACAGAGAGCUCUCAGCUGGAGGAGGAGGACUAAUGGGAUUGUACUGCAUCAGCACUGAGAUUCACGAGGAGAACACACCAGAUUGCCCUUCACAUGAGGUAAUGAAGCCACUCUAUCAAAGACUUGUACCUCCAUCAGGCUGCAACCCAGCUCCUCCCUCAGAGGACAAUACAACAUGGCUGUGUUCGAGCUACGCUGUGCCCCUUCAGGACACCAUACAAUCUUACUGUAUCCUUUGCCUAAACCCGUUGUUUAUGCACCACUCAUAACCUCCACUGUGAAAAAUACACUCAUCACCUGUCAGUGCUGCUCUAUCACUAACAUCACUAUCACUGCCGUCUUCAGUCAUGUUCUAUUGUUCUCCCCUGAAUGACCUUGAGACACGGUCAUAUGGCUCAGUCAGAAUGGGAGGUCUUCUGGACAGCCUUUCUCUCUCUCUCUCUCACUCACUACAAUAUUUCACUAAGCAAUUUGGUGCCAUAUGGUCAUGGCUCCAUAGACCAACACUCCACCACUAAGGAGCUUUAUGGGCAUAAACGACAGCAAGACAAACUCCUUUUCGGGGGCUGAUAAAAUCUCUCUAGUCAUCCAUUUACUAUAUGGCCAAAGCUGCUUUUGCUCCAACUGUCUCCCUGUCCCUCCAAGUGUCCGUUCUUUUUUUUAUUUUUUCUCUCAAGAAGUGUGCUGAGUAGGGUCGUGGCAUUAGCGGUGGCAGCAUCUGCCAGCAGGGAAAGGACCUAGGAGAGUGAGUGCCUCCUGUUUGUCUCCGCUGUCUCCAAGUCCCCAACCAUAUUCUUCCUGCUAAUUAACCUGCUGACGCCUCCUUACUGUGUACAUUUUGGGGGAAGGUGGAAGGAGGGUGUGCAGCAGCACCAACAUGGAACAGGAAGUACAGAAGCAUAUGGAUCAAAAAUGAUUCAGCAGUUUUCCAAACCUUCAGCCAAAGCUGUGAGUAUUUGAUCGAGUUACGUGUGAUCAAGCACAAUGGAGGUAACAUGGCAAUGGUGGAGCAUGGGAGGGAGGUGCAAACCUGCCUGCUGACACACAACAUGAGGUUGGAAAUGCAGAUGGCAAAACUGGCUGUGACUCCCCCAGCUUCAGGUUGCCAGGCUUGGAGCCGGGGAAUAGCAAAUGUACCACAGUCCAAGUGCUAGCCUCUUUAGCAUGGAAGUUCAAUUUCCUAUAAUUUUUUGCCAGGAGCUCAUUAGUAUCCAUUCUGAUUUUUCUACUUUGUGGUAAGAGCAACCAUUUUUGUUUAUCUUCAUGAAAAUGAGUUCCUGAAGGUAAUUGCAUCCGUGUUUCAUUCAAAGUGUUGUUCAUUAGGAGAAGGAGUUAUAAAUGGGAGCUCUCACAGCGUAUGUUCACGUCAGGCUCUGCUGCUCCCUCUGCCACCACAGGCGACACGCACAUCGCUCACUCCCUUGCAGGAACAGGCGAAUAUAUGGCUGCACCCUGCCAGCGGGAACGAAAAUGGGAAGGCGGGGGAUGAAGAGGGGUGGAGGAAGAACGAGGAAACAGAAAGGCCACAGAGAGAUGAAAAUCAGAGCAGGAUCAGAGAUGACGACUCGGAAGAUAAAACAAAGCACAGAAAAGUUUUGACUGAAGAUGAGGGAAAAUAAAGGGGGAAUAAGGAGAAGAAGGGAGAGAUAUAGCAGACUAGGCAGACGGGCAGAACAAGUUUCCAGCCCUCCACCCAUCAGAGAGUUCGGCUGUUCAGAUGUUUGGUUGGCGGUAAAGGCAGACAGACAGAUUGCAGCCAAUGAUAUGUGUUGGGAAUCAUCUCAGAGAUGGGCUAAUGACAGGGGGGGAGAAGCAGGCAGAUGGCUCCCGUCAGGGAAAUACGCUUGCAUUACCGUCCCAGUGGUCUGGGCUGAGACUGCAUGAACAUUUGGGAUUGCAGGGAAUAAGUAAUGGUUAGUAUGGGGAAAGAAACUGAUCGGAGAAGGUGGUGACAGACUGUCCUCUUCUUGACCUCCAGUUUCAAAGGAAGAAAGAAACAAAGCUGUGAGUUUAUGAUGCACAGCAGUGUACAUAUUUACAUCAGUGCAUGUUAGCACGUAGAGUGGCAGAGACAGAGAACCAGAGAUGAUUUUAUUGCAUGUGUGUGUGGAUGAAGUUUUUUUGCAUGGUCAAGAUUUAAUGAAUUACUCAUUAUCCACUUGAGAUAAUUAUAUUACAUUAGUAUUCACUUGAUAAUAGAAAUAAUUAGUUGUAUUACUCAUGGCAUUGCUUCACACUUGACUUCAGAGUAAUCCAAUCAUGAGAGGAAGGCGCAGCUUCACACACUCUCACAACUGUGCAAAAUAAAACCCCAGCAGAUUCCUGGAUGUGACU